CUGGAAUGGGUAAUGACUCAAAUCUAUAUGGCCCCUGGAUUGGACUGCGGCCGAUCAGGCUGUUGGUGAGGUAAUAGCCCACCAAACCUGUAACCGGUACGGGCUCUGAGAGGAGGAGCCCGGAGAUGGGCACUGAGACAAGGGCCCAGGCCCUAUGGGGCGCAGCAGGCGCGAAACCUCUGCAAUAGGCGAAAGCCUGACAGGGUUACUCUGAGUGAUUUCCGUUAAGGAGAUCUUUUGGCACCUCUAAAAAUGGUGCAGAAUAAGGGGUGGGCAAGUCUGGUGUCAGCCGCCGCGGUAAUACCAGCACCCCGAGUGGUCGGGACGUUUAUUGGGCCUAAAGCAUCCGUAGCCGGUUCUACAAGUCUUCCGUUAAAUCCACCUGCUUAACAGAUGGGCUGCGGAAGAUACUAUAGAGCUAGGAGGCGGGAGAGGCAAGCGGUACUCGAUGGGUAGGGGUAAAAUCCGUUGAUCCAUUGAGGACCACCAGUGGCGAAGGCGGCUUGCCAGAACGCGCUCGACGGUGAGGGAUGAAAGCUGGGGGAGCAGACCGGAUUAGAUACCCGGGUAGUCCCAGCUGUAAACGAUGCAGACUCGGUGAUGAGUUGGCUUCUUGCCAACUCAGUGCCGCAGGGAAGCCGUUAAGUUUGCCGCCUGGGGAGUACGGUCGCAAGACUGAAACUUAAAGGAAUUGGCGGGGGAGCACCACAAGGGGUGAAGCCUGCGGUUCAAUUGGAGUCAACGCCGGG
rnacentral:rRNA from 1 species